GUCCCAGUUCGGAUUGUAGUCUGCAACCCGACUACAUGAAGCUGGAAUCGCUAGUAAUCGCGAAUCAGAAUGUCGCGGUGAAUACGUUCCCGGGUCUUGUACACACCGCCCGUCACACCAUGGGAGUCGGAAAUGCCCGAAGUCAGUGACCUAACCGAAAGGGAGGAGCUGCCGAAGGUAGAGCCGGUAACUGGGGUGAAGUCGUAACAAGGUAUC
rnacentral:rRNA from 1 species